AUUGAACGCUGGCGGCAUGCCUUACACAUGCAAGUCGAACGGUAACAGGUCUUCGGAUGCUGACGAGUGGCGAACGGGUGAGUAAUACAUCGGAACGUGCCUAGUAGUGGGGGAUAACUACUCGAAAGAGUGGCUAAUACCGCAUGAGAUCUACAGAUGAAAGCAAGGGAUCGCAAGACCUUGUGCUACUAGAGCGGCCGAUGGCAGAUUAGGUAGUUGGUGGGAUAAAAGCUUACCAAGCCGACGAUCUGUAGCUGGUCUGAGAGGACGAUCAGCCACACGGGGACUGAGACACGGCCCAGACUCCUACGGGAGGCAGCAGUGGGGAAUUUUGGACAAUGGGCGCAAGCCUGAUCCAGCAAUGCCGCGUGCAGGAUGAAGGCCUUCGGGUUGUAAACUGCUUUUGUACGGAACGAAAAGCCCUGGGUUAAUACCCUGGGGUCAUGACGGUACCGUAAGAAUAAGCACCGGCUAACUACGUGCCAGCCGCCGCCGUAACAC
rnacentral:rRNA from 1 species